ACGGGGUGCAGCAGGCGCGAAACCUUUGCAAUGUGCGAAAGCACGACAAGGUUAAUCCGAGUGUCUCCCGCUAAGGGAGUCUUUUGUCAGUUCUAGAACCACUGGUGAAUAAGGGGUGGGCAAGUUCUGGUGUCAGCCGCCGCGGUAAAACCAGCACCUCGAGUGGUCAGGAGGUUUAUUGGGCCUAAAGCAUCCGUAGCCGGUUGCAUAAGUUUUCGGUUAAAUCUAUGCGCUUAACGUAUAGGCCGCCGAAAAUACUGUGCAGCUAGGGAGUGGGAGAGGUACACGGUACUCGAUAGGAAGGGGUAAAAUCCUUUGAUCUAUUGAUGACCACCUGUGGCGAAGGCGGUGUACCAGAACACGUUCGACGGUGAGGGAUGAAAGCUGGGGGAGCAAACCGGAUUAGAUACCCGGGUAGUCCCAGCUGUAAACGAUGCAGACCCGGUGAUGCAUUGGCUUGUGGCCAAUGCAGUGCCGCAGGGAAGCCGUUAAGUCUGCCGCCUGGGAAGUACGUACGCAAGUAUGAAACUUAAAGGAAUUGGCGGGGGAGCAC
rnacentral:rRNA from 2 species